UUUUGUUUGAUUCGCUUUUUGAGCGGUGCUGUUUCGAAGUCAGUCUUGGACCCUACUCUCCAGUUAUUUUUUCUUGUUUUUAUUUAUUUUGUCUCACUUUGUUUCUUUUCAUUUUACCUCUUUCCCAUUAUUUUUUAUUUUCAUUUCAUGUAAUUAAAAAGGAUUGCAUAAGGUACUAUUUUAAUAAUGUUUGGGGUGGUCUUCACCUCUUUUGUUGUUUCGG
rnacentral:lncRNA from 1 species